rnacentral:rRNA from 1 species
AUUGAACGCUGGCGGCAGGCCUAACACAUGCAAGUCGAGCGGAUGAGGGUAGCUUGCUAUCUGAUUCAGCGGCGGACGGGUGAGUAAUGCCUAGGAAUCUGCCUGGUAGUGGGGGACAACGUUUCGAAAGGAACGCUAAUACCGCAUACGUCCUACGGGAGAAAGUGGGGGAUCUUCGGACCUCACGCUAUCAGAUGAGCCUAGGUACGAUUAGCUAGUUGGUGAGGUAAAGGCUCACCAAGGCGACGAUCGUUAACUGGUCUGAGAGGAUGAUCAGUCACACUGGAACUGAGACACGGUCCAGACUCCUACGGGAGGCAGCAGUGGGGAAUAUUGGACAAUGGGCGAAAGCCUGAUCCAGCCAUGCCGCGUGUGUGAAGAAGGUCUUCGGAUUGUAAAGCACUUUAAGUUGGGAGGAAGGGCAGUAAGUUAAUACCUUGCUGUUUUGACGUUACCGACAGAAUAAGCACCGGCUAACUUCGUGCCAGCAGCCGCCGCCGUAA